ACUCCUACGGGAGGCAGCAGUGGGGAAUAUUGCACAAUGGGGGAAACCCUGAUGCAGCAACGCCGCGUGAGUGAUGACGGUCUUCGGAUUGUAAAGCUCUGUCUUCAGGGACGAUAAUGACGGUACCUGAGGAGGAAGCCACGGCUAACUACGUGCCAGCAGCCGCGGUAAUACGUAGGUGGCUAGCGUUGUCCGGAUUUACUGGGCGUAAAGGGAGCGUAGGUGGAUAUUUAAGUGGGAUGUGAAAUACUCGGGCUUAACCUGGGUGCUGCAUUCCAAACCGGAUAUCUAGAGUGCAGGAGAGGAAAGUAGAAUUCCUAGUGUAGCGGUGAAAUGCGUAGAGAUUAGGAAGAAUACCAGCGGCGAAGGCGACUUUCUGGACUGUAACUGACACUAAGGCUCGAAAGCGUGGGGAGCAAACAGGAUUAGAUACCCUGGUAGUCCACGCCGUAAACGGUGAAUACUAGGUGUAGGGGUCGUCAUGACCUCUGCGCCCCCGCUAACGCAUUAAGUCUUCCGCCUGGGCAGUACGGUCGCAAGAUUA
rnacentral:rRNA from 1 species